rnacentral:rRNA from 1 species
AUACGGAGGGCGCAAGCGUUGUUCGGAAUCAUUGGGCGUAAAGCGCGCGUAGGCGGCUUGGAAAGUCGGGUGUGAAAUCCCGGGGCUCAACCCCGGAACUGCACUCGAAACUUCCUAGCUAGAGUCUCGGAGAGGUAGGCGGAAUUCCCGGUGUAGAGGUGAAAUUCGUAGAUAUCGGGAGGAACACCAGUGGCGAAGGCGGCCUACUGGACGAUGACUGACGCUGAGGUGCGAAAGCGUGGGGAGCAAACAGGAUUAGAAACCCUAGUAGUCC